GCUUUCUCUCGCCCCACUGGACUUCAUUGGAGUUGCUGACCCUCAAGAACCAAUCCUUCCACCCCACAGUAGGGCCAGCCAGGAAUGAAAAGUAUCCUUCCACAGAUCCAAAGAAAAAUUCUUUGCUCUAAAAGGGAUCCUGUUGGUUUCUGCAUUUAUGAGGUUGGUUGGAUCUGGAUCCCCUAGCGGGCCAAGGCAUUGGAGGUGUGGUUGAUCAGUGGGGAUGACAAUUUUGUUAGCCAAUUCCUAGUGGUUUUGGAGAUGGAAAAGAAAAACACAAAGAAAAAAAGAGAAAAUGUUCAGUAAGAUGGAUUGCGGAUGAACAGGGGUGCGAGGAAAAGUACAACAGAUGGCGCGAAGGACUGACCUCAGGAACAAUGAAGUUGAUGGCCAUUUUACCACGGAGAAGAUGUUUGAGAGCUUCGGAGGUGGUGAAGAAGGGACUUCGUCGAAGAUCUUGGAGCUUUUGGAUAGCGCCGCUGCCGGG
rnacentral:lncRNA from 1 species